GGGGCUAUAGCUCAGAUGGUAGAGCAUCUGCUUUGCACGCAGAGGGUCAGCGGUUCAAUCCCGCUUAGCUCCA
rnacentral:tRNA from 1 species